UACGUAGGUGGCAAGCGUUGUCCGGAAUUAUUGGGCGUAAAGCGCGCGCAGGCGGUCCUUUAAGUCUGAUGUGAAAGCCCACGGCUCAACCGUGGAGGGUCAUUGGAAACUGGGGGACUUGAGUGCAGAAGAGGAGAGUGGAAUUCCACGUGUAGCGGUGAAAUGCGUAGAGAUGUGGAGGAACACCAGUGGCGAAGGCGACUCUCUGGUCUGUAACUGACGCUGAGGCGCGAAAGCGUGGGGAGCAAACAGG
rnacentral:rRNA from 1 species